GUUCUGUGACUGCGUACCUUUUGUAUAAUGGGUCAGCGACUUAUAUUUUGUAGCGAGGUUAACCGAUUAGGGUAGCCGUAGGGAAACCGAGUCUUAACUGGGCGAAUAGUUGCAAGGUAUAGACCCGAAACCCGGUGAUCUAGCCAUGGGCAGGUUGAAGGUUGAGUAACAUCAACUGGAGGACCGAACCCACUAACGUUGAAAAGUUAGGGGAUGACCUGUGGCUAGGAGUGAAAGGCUAAUCAAACCGGGAGAUAGCUGGUUCUCCCCGAAAUCUAUUUAGGUAGAGCCUCGGACGAAUACUUACGGGGGUAGAGCACUGUUAAGGCUAGGGGGUCAUCCCGACUUACCAACCCUUUGCAAACUCCGAAUACCGUAAAGUACUAUCCGGGAGACACACGGCGGGUGCUAACGUCCGUCGUGAAGAGGGAAACAACCCAGACCGCCAGCUAAGGUCCCAAAGUCAUAGUUAAGUGGGAAACGAUGUGGAAAGGCCCAGACAGCCAGGAGGUUGGCUUAGAAGCAGCCAUCCUUUAAAGAAAGCGUAAUAGCUCACUGGUCGAGUCGGUCUGCGCGGAAGAUGUAACGGGGCUAAACUAUGCACCGAAGCUGCGGAUU
rnacentral:rRNA from 1 species